UAUAGCUACAGCAGAGGUAGGGUUAUAGCUACAGCAGAGGUAGGGUUAUAACUACAGCAGAGGUAGGGUUAUAGCUACAGCAGAGGUAGGGUUAUAGCUACAGCAGAGGUAGGGUUAUAGCUACAGCAGAGGUAGGGUUAUAGCUACAGCAGAGGUAGGGUUAUAGCUACAGCAGAGGUAGGGUUAUAGCUACAGCAGAGGUAGGGUUAUAGCUACAGCAGAGGUAGGGUUAUAGCUACAGCAGAGGUAGGGUUAUAGCUACAGCAGAGGUAGGGUUAUAGCUACAGCAGAGGUAGGGUAAUAGCUACAGCAGAGGUAGGGUUAUAUCUACAGCAGAGGUGGGCUUAUAGAUACAGCAGAGCUAGGGUUAUAGCUACAGCAGAGCUAGGGUUAUAGCUACAGCAGAGGUAGGGUAAUAGCUACAGCAGAGGUAGGGUUAUAUCUACAGCAGAGGUGGGCUUAUAGAUACAGCAGAGCUAGGGUUAUAGCUACAGCAGAGCUAGGGUUAUAACUACAGCAGAGCUAGGGUUAUAGCUACAGCAGAGCUAGGGUUAUAGCUACAGCAGAGCUAGGGUUAUAGCUACAGCAGAGCUAGGGUUAUAGCUACAGCAGAGCUAGGGUUAUAGCUACAGCAGAGCUAGGGUUAUAGCUACAGCAGAGCUAGGGUUAUAGCUACAGCAGAGCUAGGGUUAUAGCUACAGCAGAGCUAGGGUUAUAGCUACAGCAGAGCUAGGGUUAUAGCUACAGCAGAGGUAGGGUUAUAGCUACAGCAGAGGUAGGGUUAUAGCUACAGCAGAGGUAGGGUUAUAGCUACAGCAGAGGUAGGGUUAUAGCUACAGCAGAGGUAGGGUUAUAGCUACAGCAGAGGUAGGGUUAUAGCUACAGCAGAGGUAGGGUUAUAGCUACAGCAGAGGUAGGGUUAUAGCUACAUCAGGGGUAGGGUUAUAGCUACAUCAGGGGUAGGGUUAUAGCUACAUCAGGGGUAGGGUUAUAGCUACAUCAGGGGUAGGGUUAUAGCUACAGCAGAGGUAGGGUUAUAACUACAGCAGAGGUAGGGUUAUAGCUACAGCAGAGGUAGGGUUAUAGCUAGAUCAGGGGUAGGGUUAUAGCUACAGCAGAGGUAGGGUU